UACGUAGGGGGCAAGCGUCAUCCGGAAUUAUUGGGCGUAAAGAGUGCGUAGGUGGUUACCUAAGCGCAAGGUUUAAUCUUGAGGCUCAACCUCAUUCUGCCUUGCGAACUGGGCUACUUGAGUGCAGGAGGGGAAAGCGGAAUUCCUAGUGUAGCGGUGAAAUGCGUAGAUAUUAGGAAGAACACCGGUGGCGAAGGCGGCUUUCUGGACUGUAACUGACACUGAGGCACGAAAGCGUGGGGAGCAAACAGGAUUAGAUACCCUGGUAGUCCCU
rnacentral:rRNA from 1 species